CCACUUGCAACCCGAGCCAGGAUGUGGUCGCCCGCCCUCGUGCUCAUCCUGCUCAUUCCAGGAUCUUCUGCCGCUGAAUUUCUGAGGCAGGCGGACAGAAUCAAGUCCGUCUCUCUCGGCGGGACGGUGAAGAUUGGCGCCACGGGCAGUUCAGAUAUUGGUGGCGAUCUCAGUUGGUACCAAGUGAAACCCGGGCAGGCUCCCAAACUGCUCAUCUACACUGCAUCCAGUCGCUUCUCUGGCACGCCAUCUCGAUUCAGCGGCGCGCAAUCUGGCUCGGACUACACCCUGACCAUCAAUGGUGUCCAGGCAGAAGACGUGGCCGAGUACUACUGCCUCGGGUUGCACGGCAGCGGAAGGUACACACGGUGAUUCGGAGGCGUACAAAAACCUCCACAGGCUUAGAGAGAAGUGAAAGUGGCCUGCAGAAGGUAGCAAGCGGAAAUCAGAGGUCACGUUGAAGGAUGAGCAUAAAUGGUCGUCGGGCUAAUGAAUCACUCGAGCUGACUGGCAACGCUCCAUUUAUAUGAUUAUUAUUAUUAAUAUUUUCAGUAUUUUCAUUUUCAUGAGUAAGUGGUGAUUAUAUUACACAGGGAGAAAAUAUAUCUAUGAAGUGAUGAAGAGCUUUUUCAAACCUACAUCAUGUCUUGAUUUAAAUUAUAUAAUAAGCUACAUUCUGUACAGUACAUUCAUUCUGUAUUUUUUACGUAUUUAUUUUUGUUCAAAUGUUUCUAUUGUUAAUCAAUGUACUGCAAUUAUUUUAUCAAGCAAUGUACAGUAUUAGGAUUGUGUUAUAAGUUUGUGGUCAUGAUUUUUUUUUACUCAAGUGUGAAACUAAAUAUGCAAUUCUCCAUGUAUCAUUUUAUUUACUGUAUAAGUGCAAACUGGUUUAUUGCACAAUAUAUGUAAAUAUUAACCUAAUUUAUGUAUUUGUCAUUUUAUACUUAAUUACUUUUUGGUGAACAGUUUUUGAG